UGCCCAUCGAGCGGAAGUGACCCACCGCUGACAGGGUGGCCACGCCAGAGCUCCUGGCCUUUCUUUUUCCAACUUCAAGAAAAGAAGGGUUAUUCUAUGUUGCUAACUUUGCCUAUUUCUGGGAGCAGAGAAAGGAAGGGAAUCCUGGCCCCAGGACACCUGCAGCUACAGGUGCAUCCCUGCAACACCCCCCAAAGUGCUGCAGCGCCACCUGGUGCCAGAGUGAUACAUAGCUCCACCCAACCCGAUACCCGGAGACUGUCCAGCCUGUCCUACAAAGUUCUGAAAGCUGCUGAGAGCAUGAGGUGGGGUGAGCAUCUGAAGAAUGGAGAUCGCUAACGGGUUUGGGUGUAGCGUAUGAGGAGGAAAGGAAGACCGACUCAUCGAUGAACUGUCCUGAGCACUUGAGUACGAGACACAAAUCUGCCGCCUACAGUCAGUCAGGUGAGGAAGUUGAGGCCCAGAGGUUUCGCAUGAAGUCACAAGCAAAUGGAGAGAGCGGGACCAGAGAGUAGCUGCUACAUCGGGCUCGCUCCAAAAAACAAAGUUAAAACUACAAUUAUUUGUUUUCUUUGUUUAUUUCUGUGUGAGGGCAUUUGUGCCAUGGCAUGGCUGUGUAUGUCAGAGGACAAGUUUUCAGAGUUGAUGCUCUCGUUCCUCCAUGUGGGUCUUGGCAUUCAAACCCAAGUUUUUAGCUUCGGCAGCAAGCACUUUUACCUCUCUCACAGAGCCCAUUCUCUCCCCCCCCCCCCCUCCGUCUUGAUAAAAGAGAAAAGUUUUUACCUGCGGCAGA